rnacentral:rRNA from 1 species
CUNGACCUCAAAUCGGGUGAGACUACCCGCUGAACUUAAGCAUAUCAAUAAGCGGAGGAAAAGAAACUAACAAGGAUUCCCCUAGUAACUGCGAGUGAAGCGGGA